GUAGGUGGCAAGCGUUGUCCGGAUUUAUUGGGUUUAAAGGGUGCGUAGGCGGCCUUAUAAGUCAGUGGUGAAAUACUCCAGCUUAACUGGAGGGGUGCCAUUGAUACUGCAAGGCUUGAGUGGAGUCGAGGUAGGCGGAAUUGACGGUGUAGCGGUGAAAUGCUUAGAUAUCGUCAAGAACACCGAUAGUGUAGACAGCUUACUAGGCUCAUACUGACGCUGAGGCACGAAAGUGUGGGGAUCAAACAGGAUUAGAUACCCUGGUAGUCCACACUGUAAACGUUGAUAACUCGCUGUUGGCGAUACACAGUCAGCGGCUAAGCGCAAGCGAUAAGUUAUCCACCUGGGGAGUACGCCGGCAACGGUGAA
rnacentral:rRNA from 1 species